UUGGAGGGCAAGUCUGGUGCCAGCAGCCGCGGUAAUUCCAGCUCCAAUAGCGUAUAUUAAAGUUGUUGCAGUUAAAAAGCUCGUAGUUGAAUUUCGAGACCGGCUUACUGGUCGUGCUAUUGUACGUACUGGUAUAAUCGGUUUCUCCUUUCUGACGAACUAUAAUGCCAUUAAUUUGGUGUUUUAGGGAAUCAGGACUGUUACUUUGAAAAAAUUGGAGUGUUUAAAGCAGGCUCACGCUUGAAUACAUUAGCAUGGAAUAACGGAAUAGGACGUUUGAUUCUAUUUUGUUGGUUUCUAGGAUCGACGUAAUGAUUAAUAGGGAUAGUUGGGGGCAUUAGUAUUCAAUUGUCAGAGGUGAAAUUCUUGGAUUUAUUGAAGACUAACUACUGCGAAAGCAUUUGCCAAGGAUGUUUUCAUUAAUCAAGAACGAAAGUUAGGGGAUCGAAGACGAUCAGAUACCGUCGUAGUCUUAACCAUAAACUAUGCCGACUAGGGAUCGGAUGAUGUUAAUUUUUUAAUGACUCAUUCGGCGCCUUACGGGAAAC
rnacentral:rRNA from 1 species